rnacentral:sRNA from 1 species
AUUAUAGGCUUGGCUUUCACAGCGGUUGGUGCUCUGUUGGCGUUUGUCCCAGGGACAAUCCUGAAAACAUUGUAUGAAACUGCUAAGAAGACUGCAGAUACCGCUGGCUAUUCUUUCCCACAAAGUGCAGACGACAUAGCAAAUGUCCCAAUGGUUCACGAGGUUGGAUUGGCUUUGUUUAUUUUAGGCAUUAUCUUCACAAUCUUGGCUUUUCUCGGAUGCUGUGGUUCCUGUUCUUCCUGCUGCAAAAUUUUGCUCAUCGGAUUUGCUCUGGUGAUGAUUUUGCUGAUGAUUGCAGAGAUAGUUGUCUGCUCCUUAUUUUUCGUCAAAGACUCACCAGUAAGUAGACUGUAGCUAUUCU